AUUGAACGCUGGCGGCAGGCCUAACACAUGCAAGUCGAACGGUAACAGGAAACAGCUUGCUGUUUCGCUGACGAGUGGCGGACGGGUGAGUAAUGUCUGGGAAACUGCCUGAUGGAGGGGGAUAACUACUGGAAACGGUAGCUAAUACCGCAUAACGUCGCAAGGCCAAAGAGGGGGACCUUCGGGCCUCUUGCCAUCGGAUGUGCCCAGAUGGGAUUAGCUAGUAGGUGGGGUAACGGCUCACCUAGGCGACGAUCCCUAGCUGGUCUGAGAGGAUGACCAGCCACACUGGAACUGAGACACGGUCCAGACUCCUACGGGAGGCAGCAGUGGGGAAUAUUGCACAAUGGGCGCAAGCCUGAUGCAGCCAUGCCGCGUGUAUGAAGAAGGCCUUCGGGUUGUAAAGUACUUUCAGCGGGGAGGAAGGGAGUAAAGUUAAUACCUUUACUCAUUGACGUUACCCGCAGAAGAAGCACCGGCUAACUCCGUG
rnacentral:rRNA from 1 species